rnacentral:rRNA from 1 species
CCUACGGGAGGCAGCAGUGGGGGAUAUUGCACAAUGGGGGAAACCCUGAUGCAGCGACGCCGCGUGGGUGAAGAAGCGCCUCGGCGCGUAAAGCCCUGUCAGCAGGGAAGAAAAUGACGGUACCCGAAGAAGAAGCACCGGCUAACUACGUGCCAGCAGCCGCGGUACUACGUAGGGGGCAAGCGUUAUACGGAUUUAGUGGGUGUAAAGGGAGCGCAGGCGGCACGGCAAGCCUGAUGUGAAAGCCCGCGGCCCAACCGCGGGACUGCAUUGGGAACUACCGGGCUGGAGUGCCGGAGAGGUAGGCGGAAUGCCUAGUGUAGCGGUGAAAUGCGUAGAUAUUAGGAGGAACACCAGUGGCGAAGGCGGCCUACUGGACUCCCACUGACACUGAGGCUCGAAAGUGUGGGUAUCGAACAGGAUUAGAUACCCUAGUAGUC